rnacentral:rRNA from 1 species
GAUGAACGCUGGCGGCGUGCUUAACACAUGCAAGUCGAACGGAAAGGCCAGUGCUUGCCCUGGUACUCGAGUGGCGAAAGGGUGAGUAACACGUGGGUGAUCUGCCCUGCACUUCGGGAUAAGCCUGGGAAACUGGGUCUAAUACCGGAUAGGACAAUGGUUUGGAUGCCGUUGUGGAAAGUUUUUUCGGUGUGGGAUGAGCUCGCGGCCUAUCGGCUUGUUGGUGGGGUAAUGGCCUACCAAGGCGUCGACGGGUAGCCGGCCUGAGAGGGUGUACGGCCACAUUGGGACUGAGAUACGGCCCAGACUCCUACGGGAGGCAGCAGUGGGGAAUAUUGCACAAUGGGCGCAAGCCUGAUGCAGCGACGCCGCGUGGGGGAUGACGGCCUUCGGGUUGUAAACUCCUUUCGCUAGGGACGAAGCGUAUUUGUGACGGUACCUGGAGAAGAAGCACCGGCUAACUACGU